rnacentral:rRNA from 1 species
UAGUCCACGCUGUAAACGAUGAUCACUCGUUGUUGGCGAUACACAGUCAGUGACUAAGCGAAAGCAUUAAGUGAUCCACCUGGGGAGUACGGUCGCAAGAUUGAAACUCAAAGGAAUUGACGGGGGCCCGCACAAGCGGAGGAACAUGUGGUUUAAUUCGACGAUACGCGAGGAACCUUACCUGGGCUUAAAUGCAGAACGACAGAUUGGGAAACUGGAUCUUUCUUCGGACGGACUGCAAGGUGCUGCAUGGUUGUCGUCAGCUCGUGCCGUGAGGUGUCGGGUUAAGUCCCAUAACGAGCGCAACCCUUAUCGUUAGUUACCAGCGAGUAAUGUCGGGAACUCUAACGAAACUGCCGGUGUAAACCGUGAGGAAGGUGGGGAUGACGUCAAAUCAGCACGGCCCUUAUGUCCAGGGCUACACACGUGUUACAAUGGCCAGUACAAAGGGCAGCUAUCUGGUGACAGAAUGCUAAUCUCGAAAACUGGUCUCAGUUCGGAUCG